rnacentral:lncRNA from 1 species
CAUCCGCCCAGGGGUGGGCGGCACUGUGCUUUGCACUGGGGCCUCUCAAGGCAGCUUUGUGCCGUUUUGCUUUCCUGCGUUCUUGAUGCUCUGAGGUACUCAUUGUAGGGGGUACAAAGAUUAAUCCAAAGAUGCUGUGUGGUUGUUAGGAUGCAAGUACUGGGGACAAAGUGACGACCACGUAGACGGUCCCACGCAGAGUGCUUCGGCUGGUGGAGGGAAAAUAGUGCUGCUCUCCUGCCAAUGAAACGUGGUUAGCACAAUUUCCCUGUAUCUCCUCUUCUUACCCAGCCUUUCCUGAAUGGAGCAUCAAUCUUACUAGACGACAAAGAGACAAGAAAAGAUCAAAGGAUCUGUGGAGAUAACAAAGCCCCCAACAGUCCAGCAAGAUAACAGCCGUCCAAGUUUUUCAAGUUAGAACUCACAACAACCCAGUAGGAAGAAUAAAAAUUUCUGGGGGCUGAGGAUUUAGCUCAGUGGUUCCCCCUCCUACCUCACAAGCUCAAGGUCCCGAGUUCAAUCUCCG